AACGAACGCUGGCGGCAUGCCUAACACAUGCAAGUCGAACGAAGCCUUCGGGCUUAGUGGCGCACGGGUGCGUAACGCGUGGGAAUCUGCCCUUGGGUUCGGAAUAACGGUUAGAAAUGACUGCUAAUACCGGAUGAUGUCUUCGGACCAAAGACUUAUCGCCCAAGGAUGAGCCCGCGUAGGAUUAGGUAGUUGGUGGGGUAAUGGCCCACCAAGCCGACGAUCCUUAGCUGGUCUGAGAGGAUGAUCAGCCACACUGGGACUGAGACACGGCCCAGACUCCUACGGGAGGCAGCAGUGGGGAAUAUUGGACAAUGGGCGAAAGCCUGAUCCAGCAAUGCCGCGUGAGUGAUGAAGGCCUUAGGGUUGUAAAGCUCUUUUACCAGGGAUGAUAAUGACAGUACCUGGAGAAUAAGCUCCGGCUAACUCCGUGCCAGCCGCCGCGGUAA
rnacentral:rRNA from 1 species